rnacentral:lncRNA from 1 species
GGCUAAAGUUGUUGCCUUUUAGUUGAUGUUUAUAGUUUAAUUUUGUUUAGAAUAGCUGCUUUGUAAUAAAAAUCGAGUUUUCAUCACCUUAGCCACUUUAAAACAUCCUAUUUCCUACCCUUCGCCUAGCCCCAUUACAACCCUUCAAAGACCUUUUGACUUGUGCUUAGUAUUCGUGUUCGGUGGUGGAGAAUGAUUGAGUUGCAAGCCUAUGCGGGUACGUUGUUCUAAUCGGUUUUGAGCGAUUACUUUUUAAAAGUGCUAAUACAUCAUGAAAAUUAGCCAACUUGUAAACCGAGGGGAGUGAACAUUGUGAGGGACAUGCAUGAAACGUGAGUUUCACGGGCGGGUUAAUCUUGGAUAACCACUUUUACAUGAUUAAUCAUUUAUUGCUAAAUAUGAGAAAAUUGUAAAAAAGUUUGAACUGGGUAUGACUUUAGACCUUAACUUACGUCUCAAGAAUGGGAAGUGUGUCUCUUGUUCGACCCACGUGAAAGUGAAAAACAGAUUUGCUUGAGGGCAAGCAAAAGACAAGUGUGGGGAUGUGAUGGGUUGGUAAAAUUCCAUAGCUUAAUGGUUUUAAUUUCGGUUAAUUACACGAAGUUACUUUCUAGAAUACACUACUUUGAUAUGGUUUGUGUUUUGCAGGCAUUGAUGGGUUUAAGGUGCAUUUUGGAGAUUUACUGAAGCUUUGGGCGGAUGCUAGAGAGAGCAUAAUUGAAGAAAAUGCAAAAAGAGGCAAAACCGAGCUGAACUCUACGCCAGAAACAGUCCAAACUUCAUUUUGCCUUAUCCUGAGCUAGAAAAUGAGUUUCGGGGCUUAUAAUAUAUGCAUUUGGGGUAGCUCGACGAGACGAAUCAAAAUAUAAUGUUUUGAAAGGCCAGAAAUUGACGCAUUAUCUUCUGCACACCGGCUGAUUGGUAAAAACGGGAUUUUUUAGAGAAAAAGUCAAUUUUGAAAAAAAGGGGGAGUUACACUUGGACUUGAGUUUGA